CUUUUCCUACGGGGGGCAGCAGUGAGGAAUAUUGGUCAAUGGGCGAGAGCCUGAACCAGCCAAGUCGCGUGAGGGAGGACGGCCCUACGGGUUGUAAACCUCUUUUGCCGGGGGACAAACGGCGGCACGCGUGCCGUCCUGAGGGUACCCGGAGAAAAAGCAUCGGCUAACUCCGUGCCAGCAGCCGCGGUAAUACGGAGGAUGCGAGCGUUAUCCGGAUUUAUUGGGUUUAAAGGGUGCGUAGGCGGAUCGUUAAGUCAGUGGUCAAAUUGAGGGGCUCAACCCCUUCCCGCCAUUGAAACUGG
rnacentral:rRNA from 1 species